UCUCUCCCUUCUUUGUUGCAGUUUAUUUAGAAGCGUGUGUGAGUUAUUUCGAUUUUUUAAAUCUUUCUUAGCCCUAAACCCACCAUUGCUACCCCUAUUUCGUAUCACUUUCACCCUAAAAUCGACGAACAUCUAUCAGUGCUUGCCACUGCUCCCUCUCUGUCUCUCAUCAUUUGCAUUUGGGUGCCAGAUUUUCAACGACUUCUAACUUGAUGGUGUUAGAAUCCAGUUUGCCAUUUAUUGUUUCUGGAAGGUUGGAUGAUGAACAGCCUGCAAAACAUAAAAAUAGGGAAUGAUUUGGAAACACUUUGCGCGAGACAACAAGUCUGGGAGCUAUUAACCCAUUCAAAAAAAGGGAAAUGACACACAACAUGAAAACAGAGCUCGGAGGUAUACAUUAGUUUGAAGCCUCUUAAGUGGGAGCUGAGAUAAAAUGAUGUGAUGAGUCCACCUUGUGGCUGCUUCAGACCAGAUAAUCCAAACCUGCAUAUUCUUGCAGAUGGCAUCUUUAUAGAGGUGUAGUGAGUCAGACUCUGAAGUAGACAUUGAUUCUGAUUUUGUUGCUGAAACUACUUUGGAAGGAAGAGAUAUUUGGGGCUGUUGGUGAUGAGUUUCAGUACUUUAAAGGUGGAAAUUUUAGUCCAGCUUCAGCUGUGGAGACGGUCUGUGUGUUCCCCAACCCCAAGAACCCUUCAAAAUUAGCAGGGGAAGAGACUAUGGCUAUUAAUUGGGAUGAAAAACAAAGGGGAACAAAGUGUAAAAGUUCUUUCCAUUCAUGCCAGCAUUCAUCUUCCUUAUCUUCAUAUGUCGAUGCAUAAUCUCUCAGCUGUGGUAAUCACUAUUCAUGAGAUGUCUUUUUUAGAUAGAUGAUCAAUCUUAACAGUCAUUAAUAAAGCUGCUAAAUUCUUUUACUUUACUCAUUAAUAAUUUGAUGGCAUAUAUUUAUCUUUCUAAUUUUUGUUAAGUCUUUCAACAAUGCAUGCACUUCUGCUUCAGUUCAACUUCAACCUACUAUCCCUUACGCAUUUACAGUCAACAAAUACUUACGGAAAUCUCAAACCUAAACAUCGAACCCGGGGUGGGAAGAUAGCAAACAGGGAGACGAAAAUUGUUGAUAUGUAUGUAAGCAUCCCUUCAGAUCCGCAAUUGAUACAUCACGAGGACUACUUCUGCUGAUUUCUUGUUAAAUUACUGUCCAAUCUCCAUCGCCGCAUCUUUCUCACUCGAUUAGGUAAAUUAUUACUGUAAGUACAUAUCGAUUUUGUGCAUGUUUGUUUAUAUGAGGUUUAAGAGCAUCUGGAUGCUAAUGUGUUAUAUAUCACAAAUCUGUUUUCUCCUAUAAACUCUUGAACAGUGCGAGAAAGCCAUAAUCAUUAUUGUUAGUAGAUUAACUUUAUUUAGUAGGCCAAGCUACCGGGUGCGGGCUGACUGUAAGUCGUAGGCACGGAGGCUCGGGAGGAACGGUAGGGUUAAGGCACUAAGCCAAGAUACCCGGUGCGGGCCGACUGCAAGUUGUAGGCACGGAGGCUCGGGAGGAGUGGUAGGGUUGAGGCAGUAGGCCAAGAUACCCGGUGUUGGCCUACUGUAAUUCGUAGGCACGGAGGCUCCAGGGGAGAGGUAGGGUUGAGGCGGUAGGCCAACAAACCCAGAAAAUUUUAACCCGAUGGUUGACUGGAUUCGACAUUUUGAUAUUCCAUCCGGAUAAUGAUCAGGCUAGUCAAGGGUGUUUGUGGUUAUGAGCUAGCAGUGAUGUGUAUAUUGAUUCGGGAGUUAAUGGAAGCAUUAUCGGUCGGCACAAAAGGUUCAUCCCCGAAUUGUCUCCCAUUGUUCAUCAUAUGCUAGGAAAUUCUGUCAUCAGAAUUAGAUUUCUCUAGAAGGAUUAUCGAAUCUCUUUUGUCCAGUAAAGAGUUGUCGGCAGCAGAGUAUGAUUUGUGGUUUCGUUUUCUGGUAGGAGCCUUAGGUUUCCAGGCUUGAGUAGUCCGUCUAGGGAAUAAAGGGAAUGAAAUUAAGCAAUGGUUCGUAUGGGCGGUCUGAUGGGGAGUCAAACCAAAUUUAAGUUUCCAGAUUGUUGAUCUUCAGGUAAAGUAGGAUUGGUCGUUACGUGAAAUUAUGGAUUGGGUUUCUUUGAGGUGGAAAUUUUCUUCUAGGUUUGAUCUUCUUGGGAAGGUCGUUGUGAGUUCAAGUUGUGGAGGUGCCCCUCAGGAUGUCAGGCAUGCCAAGGACGGUAAGGGAUGAUUUCGAGGAAAAAAAUCAAAUUUAAGUGGGGAAGAGUUGUAACAUCUCAAUUUUGAAGAAUGAAUUUUAAAGCUUUAUAUGUAUUUUCCCAGGGCAAGUCGACGAGUUGGGAGGCGCCAACUCGUCGUGUUGAGUUUUCAUGGUCGGGUACUUUUUAAUGUCUACUCGACAAGUUGGAAGGCCCCAACUCGACAAGUUGAAGGUUGAAAAUGAAAAUCCUAAUUUUCAGGGUUUUUCACCCUAUUUAAAGACUUUAUAACCCAUUGUUAGCCUCCCUCAUCGUCCCCUCAGUCGAAAGAAAACCCUAAUCGUGCCUCUUUCCCCAUUUUGAGUGUGUGUGAGCUUAAAGAGUAUUCUUUGGUGAUUUUCUUGAAGGAGCUUGAAGUUGGUGGUGCAAAGUUGAAGGGAGAAGGUUUAGAUCUAGUGUCUACUCUAUUGUGGCAACCAUUUUGAGGUAUCAAGUCGAUACCUUGGCCUCUUGUUGCUUAGAUCUACUUCCAUGGAAAGAUAUUGUCAUUCUUGGUCCAUAUUGGAGUCAUUCUUGGAAUGAUGCAUCGUUUGAAGUUACCACUUCAGAUCUGGAUGUUUUAUGGCACUCUGAGCCUAAAGUUCCAAGGUUUGUCAAGUAUUGGCCCUCCUUCAUGCCCUAAACCCCUUAUUAAGCUAUGAAUGAGUGUUUAAACCCCUUUGAUGUUACGCAUGGACGUAAAGUUAGCAACUUUAUGUGAUAUCUUAGUCCUACGGGGACCAUAUCUAUAGUUUGGAGCAUUAGACUCGCUUGAGAGGCGGCUGAAUGAGUUAAGACAAGAAAAAACUUGACGAGUUGCUCUGCCAACUUGGUGAUUAGGCUCGGGGUGUCCUCGAUCUUCUGUAUGAACUCGCCGGUUUGUCUUGAUGACUCGACGAGUUGACUCGGGGUUUCGCGGUUUUCUGAAUUCUAAAGGCACUCGACGAGUUGCUAGAUGCACUCAAUGAGUUGGGUCAACAUGGACUGUUGACUGUUGACUUUGACUAUGGUUGACCAAGUUUCAAUUUAAGGAUAUUUUUAGUAAUUUGAGGUUUUGGUGAAGUUAGUCACAUGGUGGUUGUAGGCGGUUGAGUUUUGAGCUGUGGUUCGAGAGUUGGAUCUUGUCAGUCACUGCUGCUUGUGAGGUGAGUUUUCCUGACUAUACUAACAAGGUUGAAGGCAUCAAUGUCGGCCCUUUCGAUUUUUAUCCCGGUUAUCUUAUGAUUGAGUAUUGUAGUGAUCUGUUAUAUCAGUAUCCUGGUAAAUAGGAUGUUGUUAUGCUUAGGGAUCGGUUAGAUUUGCUUUUUAUAUGUUCUGGCUAUAUGUUGUCCAGUAGCUUGUGUUAAUGUAGUAUUGUUGGGUUGAGACUGUACUGUUUUGUGAUGACAGUCCAAAAACCCGGUAAUGUUUAUAUCAGUACAUUAUAUGUAUGUUUAUCUGUUAUAUGUCGACAUGGAUUGUGUGUGUGUGGUUGGGUUGAGGUGGGCAUGGUUCGUGCUGAAGGCUAACAUACCCAAGGCGGCCCGGAUAAACCGAAGGCCCAUCGGGGCGUACCAGUCAAACCGAAGGCCCGGAAAACGGUCUAGACAAGUUGAAGGCCCAGCAAGGCGGACCAGACAUGUUGAAGGUUCUCAGAGCGGCCCAAACAGGCUAAGUCCCGGUGAGUUGGUCUAGCCAUGUUAAAGGCUGAAGGCCCGGUGAGGCGGUCCAGACAUCUUGAAGGCUCUAAGAGUGGUCCAGAUAGGCUGAAGGCCCGGUGAGGCGGUCCAAUCAUGUUGAAGACUCUGUGCUUCAGAUGUUUUUGGCAAGGCGAAGACGUGACCAUACACAUCCUCGCGUUUUGGAAAUAGGAUUUCUGGGAAACUUUGAUAAUUUGAAUGGUGGGACAAAUUCGAAGAUGAGGUUCCCGAAAUCAAGGCCUUUGCAACAAAAAUUUUAGGCCUAACAUGUUCAGCUUCGGCUUGUGAGCGAAACUGGAGUACAUUUAAUCAAGUACACACAAAACGAAGAAAUUGGUUGACCAUCGAUAAAAUUUACAGUUUGGUGUACAUCAUGUACAACAAGAAGCUGAAGAAUAAUUUUAUCAAGAAGAAAAAAGCUAUCCAUUGAAGUUGAUCCCCUACUUGUUGAAGAAGUGUCUUCUGAUGAUGAAUGGGUAGCCGACCUAAAUGAUGAUGAAGCCGACAAUGGUGGUGAAGGUUAAAAUGGUAGAGAAAUUGGUGUUGGAGGUGAAUGUUCAACAUCAAGAAAGAGGAAUGAUGUUGAAUUUCAUUUGAUUGAUGAAGAGGACAUGGAAGAUGAUGAUGAUGUUUGCAUUUUUGUGAUAUGGAUUAAGUUUUCCUGUUUAAGACUUCUAUGAUUAUUUAUGUUUGGUUUAGACUUUUAUAUUGUUUUUAUAAGUUAUAUAAUAUUUCAUAAUUACUUUUAUUAUUCCGCCUCAAGGUUAUGCCUCGUUUCGCCUCGAGGCUUACGCCUCGUGAAGUGGAGGGUAAACGCCUCAAGGCUCAUUUCCGUAUUUUAAAACCUUGGUUGUAGAUGAAAAAGCU